rnacentral:tRNA from 1 species
GGGGACGUAGUAUAACUUGGCUAUCACUGCCGGCUCCAGACCGGUAAAUUUGGGUUCAAAUCCCAACGUCCCCA